rnacentral:sRNA from 10 species
UUGGGUAAUUACUCCUCGAUGGAAGGUGUUCUUUAUUGCAAGCCUCAUUUUGAGCAACUCUUCAAGGAGACGGCUAUAGAGUCAGCUGAGAAGUUAACUUCCGAGCUGGUAAAUAUCCCUUGCAACACCAAAUGUGUUUGAUGUUUGAUUACAUAAAGAGCUAAAAGUUGUUAUUAGAUGAGGAUAUCUGAUGAAAUUAUAUCUAAGCAGGCAUUUUGCAUUUGCUAAUGCUUCAUCUCUGAUAAUACCAAAUGGUGGAAGUUAAUGUUCCUCAACUUCUCUUGGAAGAAUAAAGGCACAACUUCGAACAAAUGUGCCUAACAAGAUACUUGAAAGAAUUGAUUCCAAAUGCUGCUAUUGAUGAAUUCUGUAAGUCAUUUUAUGUUAAUUUAUGUAAUUGCUUUAAAGGUGAUUUUUUUCUAGCAUUAUCAUUGGAAUUGUUCUCUGUUGGAUCCUUAUCAGGAUUUUCUGAUGUAUUGUUCUCUACUAGGAACUUCCUUGUUUUUGAUGACUCGUAAUCCUAGGGGUCUCUUUUUUAAGCUUCUGGUGGCAGUUUCUAUUAGCGAAACGCAGCAAGGUCUUGAGCUAAGGAAGGCUGGGAACCGCAAUGUCAGCUAGGUUUGUUAGGUUGGAGAAUGGACAAACAAAUAUGUAUAGAGAGGAAUUGGAGAGAAAAAGAGAGAAAGAGAGAGAUGACUAAAAUUAGUUGAGGAAAAUGAUUGUAAAGAUUGAUUUUUAGACAUUUUAAAUGUUGUAAAGACCUUUGAAAAUGAUUUUUAAAGCAUUUGAUUUUUGAGGCAUUAGUUCUACAAUUUGAUUUUA